rnacentral:rRNA from 1 species
AGAGUUUGAUCCUGGCUCAGGAUGAACGCUAGCUACAGGCUUAACACAUGCAAGUCGAGGGGAAACGACAUCGAAAGCUUGCUUUUGAUGGGCGUCGACCGGCGCACGGGUGAGUAACGCGUAUCCAACCUGCCCACCACUUGGGGAUAACCUUGCGAAAGUAAGACUAAUACCCAAUGACGUCUCUAGAAGACAUCUGAAGGAGAUUAAAGAUUUAUCGGUGAUGGAUGGGGAUGCGUCUGAUUAGCUUGUUGGCGGGGUAACGGCCACCAAGGCGACGAUCGGUAGCCGGACUGAGAGGUUGAACGGCCACAUUGGGACUGAGACACGGCCCAGACUCCUACGGGAGGCA